UGACCAUGGGUGAGAAGAGAACAUUCAGGUUCUCCUAGGGAUCACCAAAGAAAUACAGUGUGUGAAAGCAUUAGAUUGGAGGAGAAGUUUUCGGAGUUAACACAUGCAUUGAGAAGUUGGGAAAACAUCCACAAGGAGAUUGUUGGGAAAACAAGAGGCAGAUGUGAGAGAAAUAGAAAAGCACUCGGAGGUAUUAUCCUGAUACUUCAGGGAAACUGAGGUAAAGUGCAGGUGAUGAUACAGAGAGAGACAAAGUGUGAGCAGGGGAGAAGCAGAGACAGAGGGAGACAAAGAAUCCGAAGCAGGCUCCAGGCACCGAGCCGUCAGCCCAGAGCCGGACGCGGGGCUCCAACUCGCGAACCGUGAGAUCAUGACCUGAGCUGAAGUCGGACGUUCAACCAACUGAGCCACCCAGGCGGCCCCCAGUUUUUCCCCUUAAGUGGUUGUCACCCUUGCAGAUUAUCCAUCUUUACACGUGUUUGUGUUUGUGACCUCCCUUGCAGUACUGGCAAUAAACAGUAAGAACUAGCAAAUUGUCAUUGUCACACAGACGUAGGUGUGAACUUCAAUCCUUCCUUUACUGUGUGGUAUACGGUUUUGACUGAACUUCUCUGAACUUCACUUCCCUCACCUGUAAAAUAUUGUGCCUA